AUGGGUGUGGCGCAACGUCAAGCGCUCCGGUCUCCAAAACCGGCGGUUGGGGGUUCGAGUCCCUCCACCCAUG
rnacentral:tRNA from 1 species